rnacentral:rRNA from 1 species
UUGCCCCAGUAACGGCGAGUGAAGCGGCAACAGCUCAAAUUUGAAAUCUGGCCCCAGGCCCGAGUUGUAAUUUGCAGAGGAUGCUUUUGGCGCGGUGCCUUCCGAGUUCCCUGGAACGGGACGCCAUAGAGGGUGAGAGCCCCGUACGGUUGGACACCAAGCCUUUGUAAAGCUCCUUCGACGAGUCGAGUAGUUUGGGAAUGCUGCUCAAAAUGGGAGGUAUAUUUCUUCUAAAGCUAAAUAUAGGCCAGAGACCGAUAGCGCACAAGUAGAGUGAUCGAAAGAUGAAAAGCACUUUGAAAAGAGGGUUAAACAGCACGUGAAAUUGUUAAAAGGGAAGCGCUUGUGACCAGACUUGCGUCCGGUGAAUCACCCAGCUCUCGCGGCUGGGGCACUUCGCCGGCACAGGCCAGCAUCAGCUUGCCGUCGGGGACAAAAGCUUCAGGAACGUAGCUCUCUUCGGGGAGUGUUAUAGCCUGUUGCAUAAUACCCUUCGGCGGGCUGAGGUACGCGCUCCGCAAGGAUGCUGGCGUAAUGGUCAUUAACCAANCCGUCUUGAAAGA